rnacentral:rRNA from 1 species
UACGUAGGGCGCAAGCGUUGUCCGGAAUCAUUGGGCGUAAAGAGUUCGUAGGCGGCCUGUUGCGUCCGCUGUGAAAUCCCGGGGCUUAACCCCGGGCGUGCAGUGGAUACGGGCAGGCUGGAGGCAGGCAGGGGAGAACGGAAUUCCCGGUGUAGCGGUGAAAUGCGCAGAUAUCGGGAGGAACACCGGUGGCGAAGGCGGUUCUCUGGGCCUGUACUGACGCUGAGGAGCGAAAGCGUGGGGAGCGAACAGG